rnacentral:rRNA from 1 species
GCGAGUCGUGAGUCUUAGGGACUCGGCGUACCGCUCAGUAACACGUGGGUAACCUGCCCUAUGCUGGGGAAUAACCUCGGGAAACUGAGAAAAAGCCCCAUAGUUCACCACGCCUGGAACGGUGGGUGGAUCAAAGCCCCGGCGGCAUAGGAUGGGCCUGCGGCGUAUCAGGUUGUAGGGGGUGUAAAGUACCCUCUAGCCAUCUACGCGUACGGGUGUUGGGAGACAUAGCCCGGAGAUGGAUUCUGAGACACGAAUCCAGACCCUACGGGGUGCAGCAGGCGCGAAAACUUGGCAAUGCGAGCAAUCGUGACCAGGGAACUCCAAGUGCAUCGGGUAAGACCGAUGCUUUUCUUGACUCUUCAAAGGUCUUGGAAUAAGGGGUGGGUAAGGACGGUGCCAGCCGCCGCGGUAAUACCGGCGCCUCAAGUGGUAGUCGCUUUUAUUGGGCCUAAAACGUCCGUAGCCGGUUUGGUACAUUCGUGGGUAAAUCAAGGUGCUCAACGCCUUGAAUUCUGCGAGCACGGCCAGACUUGGGACCGGGAGAGGUGUGGGGUACUCUCAGGGUAGGGGUAAAAUCCUGUCAUCCUGAGGGGACCACCUGUUGCGAAGGCGCCACACUAGAACGGAUCCGACGGUCAGGGACGAAGCCUAGGGGCACGAACCGGAUUAGAUACCCGGGUAGUCC